AAAAAAUGAUAGCAGUUUUCUAUUAAGCUUUAUAAUAGACACAAAAGAGUAAGAUUGCAAUGUAUACAUGUUCGCAAGUGUAAACUUGAUAAAACUAUUCUAUUAAGCUCUAAGGCCCUGUUUGGAUCGCGGGAUAAGCGGGGAUAACGAAAGUUAUCCCUGCUAUUCUGCCAAACGGGGUGAAAUUUGGCCGGGAUAUUUUAUCCCGGUCAAACCUUGCUAUUCCCGGUUAUCCCGGAAUAGCAAGGGAUUUGCUAUUCCACCAUUUUGGUGGAACAGUGCUAUUCCAAUGCUUAAUCUCAAGCUUAAUUAAACUUAUAAAUUGAAUUAAACUAAAUUAAACUAAAUUAUAUAAAUAUAAUAUGUUAUAUAUUAUAAUACAUUAUUUUUAUUAUAAAAUUAUUAAUUGUACUAUAUUAAUACAUAUUAUUUAUAUUUAAAUAUUAUAAUAAAAUAUUUAAAAAUUUAAAUUCAAAUAUAAUAAGUGGAUAAUAUCAUUAUUUUUUAUUUACAAAACCCAUUAUCUUUCUUAUUCCAUCUUACCUAACCAAACGCUAUUUUUUUUAUUCCAGGAAUAACCUAAUUUUCAUCCAAACGCAAAAUUGAUCUAAUCCUCGCUUAUACCUCAAUUUAUACCUAUCCCUGGAAUAGCCACUUUUUCCUUAUCCCCGAACCAAACGAUACCUAAGAGUGUUCUAUUCUACUAUGAGAAAAGAGUGUUGACACAAUAAAGCUAGCUAUUAAGAAUGUUCUAUUAACUAUUAACCUUUACAACUGUUCUAUUAUGGCAUAAAAGUGUUUUAUUCUACUAUGACAAAAGAGUGUUGACAAGUAUAAAGCUAAUAGAGUGUUCUUUUAACCUUUACAACUGUUCUAUUAUGCAAUAAAAGUGUUCUAUUCUACUAUGACAAAAAUUUGUUCACAACCAUAAAGCUAUUAAGAAUAUUCUAUUCACCUUUACAACUGUUCUAUUAAGCCUUAAGAGUGUUUUAUUCUACUAUGACAAAGGAGUGUGACAAUCAUAAAGCUAGCUAUUAAGAGUGUUCUAUUUAACCUUUACAACUGUUCUAUUAUGGCAUAAAACUGUUAUAAAGCCUAAAACUGAUAGCAGAUUCCAUUAAGCUUUAAGAAUAUUUUAUUAAGUCAUAAGAGGGUAAGAUUGGAAUGCAUACAUGUUCGCAACUGCAAAUCUGAUAAAAGUAUUCUAUUAUGCUCUAAGAGUGUUUUAUUCUACUAUGACAAAAGAGCGUUAACAACCAUAAAGCUAUUCAGAUUGUUCUAUUAACCUUUACAAUUAUUCUAUUAUGGCAUAAAGCUGUUAUAAAGCCUACAACUGAUAGCAGUGUUUAGUGAAACUUUAAGAAUAUUCUAUUAAGUCAUAAGAGGGUAAGAUUACAAAUGCAUACAUGUUCGCAACUAUAAACCUGAUAAAAGUAUUCUAUUAAGUCCUAGAAAUGUUCUACUAUGACAAAAGAGUGUUCACAAUCAUAAAGCUAAUAAUAGUGUUCUAUUAAGCUGUAAGAGUGUUCUUUUAUGCUAUAAGAGUGUCAGAUUGUCAAGCAUAUAUGUUCGCAAACACAAAUUCUAUAAAAGUGUUCUACUAAGAGUGUUCUUAUAAGCUCUAAGA
rnacentral:lncRNA from 1 species